AUUGAACGCUGGCGGCAGGCCUAACACAUGCAAGUCGAACGAGUGGCGGACGGGUGAGUAAUGUCUGGGAAACUGCCCGAUGGAGGGGGAUAACUACUGGAAACGGUAGCUAAUACCGCAUACCAUCGGAUGUGCCCAGAUGGGAUUAGCUAGUAGGUGGGGUAACGGCUCACCUAGGCGACGAUCCCUAGCUGGUCUGCGAGGUGGACGAUGGGCACUGGAACUGUGUGACGGGCCAUGCUCGUAGGGGAGGCAGCAUGGGGGAAGAUUGCACAAUGGGCGCAAGCCGGAGGCAGCCAUGCCGCGUGUAUGAAGAAGGCCUUCGGGUUGUAAAGUACUUUCAGCGAGGAGGCGUUACUCGCAGAAGAAGCACCGGCUAACUCCGUGCCAGCAGCCGCGGUAAUUC
rnacentral:rRNA from 1 species